AUCGCUUCUCGGCCUUUUGGCUAAGAUCAAGUAUGGAAUCUUGUGUUUAUUUUACAUAUACAUAUGUAAAAUAUAGAUAUUAUAUAUAUAUAAAUCUUGUGUUUAUUUCAUGUGUAUAUACACACACACACACAUAUGUAUAUAAUGUCUAGGGCAUUUAUUUGCAGUUAGUGA
rnacentral:snRNA from 1 species